UACAGAGGGGGCAAGCGUUGUUCGGAAUUACUGGGCGUAAAGGGCGCGUAGGCGGCCCGCUAAGUCGAACGUGAAAUCCCCGAGCUCAACUCGGGAACUGCGUCCGAUACUGGUGGGCUUGAAUCCGGGAGAGGGAUGCGGAAUUCCAGGUGUAGCGGUGAAAUGCGUAGAUAUCUGGGGGAACACCGGUGGCGAAGGCGGCAUCCUGGACCGGCAUUGACGCUGAGGCGCGAAAGCUAGGGGAGCAAACGGG
rnacentral:rRNA from 1 species